UCAAAUGCAACUAAAAACAAACAUAAAUCUUACCAGAGUGAUGAAAAUACGUCGGAUUAACGGCGGGAAUUCAAUGGAAAUGGUGACCGAUCACAACCCCAAACUUGUCUCAUUGCUUGUCCUCAAGUGAUGUAUUGAGUCCAAACAAAGGUCACCUCCGAAUUCGUUUUCCACAAUGCAACCUAGUCUUUCACCAUUUGUGUUCUUCCUUUCCAAUCGAGUUUCAGGUCUCUCCAAUUCAGGCAGUUUACCAUAUUUCCACAUCAGAAACCUCUUCACCUGCAAGCUUUUCACUCACUCACAAUAUCUCUCGGGGUUAGGUGUGUACACUCACAGCACAGUAUACAGUAUCAGACUCUUAACUUUGAACACAUUCUAAUGUCAUUACCACAGCAGAUUUCACACACUUUUUGAGGUCUUUUUAGGUUGUAACGGGGCUUGGGUACGGUGGGAAAAAAAAAAAAUGGGUAACAAAGGGUUUUGAACUCGGUAAUCAUAUUGUGUACUUUUUCUUCUUUUCCUGUGCAUCACAUAUAUUUUUGGGGUAAAAACUCUUUUGACUCUUUUUCUACUCAACUUUCCGAGCAUUUCAUAUCUGUUGGACUCUAAGGUCUCAGCAAGUGCAAUUUUUUUUCUUUUCUUUUUUUUUUUUUUUUUUCUUUCCGAGCCUUUCAUAUCUCUAAGGUCUCGGCAAGUGCAUUUUUUCUUUUCUUUUUUUCUUUUUUUUUUUUCUUUCCGAGCCUUUCAUAUCUCUAAGGUCUCGGCAAGUGCAUUUUUUUUUCUUUUCUUAUUUUUCUUUUUUUUUCUUAUAAAGGACAUACAUACUGUUUUUCUUUUUGUAUGAUCUCAUCUUAUGCACUUGCCUUCCCUUUCAAAAUUUUCACCCCAAACUUAUUUUCAUUGCACAUCUUGCAAUUCACACAAUCAUACCGAGUUAUGACACAAAAGGGAAUGGAUAAUUAAAAGUUAACAGGGGGUUUACGAUGAAUAAUGGUUAAACGUUAACAUGGGGUUUACAACGAAUCAAAUGGCUAAGGCUCAACGGGGUUUACGAAGGGAAACAUACAUAUAGGGAUGGCUAGAAAGGCCCUGGCUAAACAAACAACUUGCCUCAGUGUGUGUUGUCAUGCUGUGACGUGUCAACAGAACAUACGCAAAAUCAGAGUGAUAAAGUUAUACCUGGCUGAACUCUCAUGUUGAUGUUUCGUGUUUGGCUUUUUGUGAUCUCACCAUGUUGGUUAGCUUGCAAGCUCUGAAGUCUCUUCGUAUUAUGUGGUUCUUUCCUGACUUGGUCUUUCCAUACCGCUCUCUUGGUCUAGUGUCACCAAAUUGUGUCCGACUUUACCUUCUCAUGGUUGCAUCAACUUCCGGGGUGCCAUAUCAGAAUAAGUAUGAGGGGUGUCAUUCAUCCACUACCAUUGAUCCCGGAUUCGUCCAACCAUUUCUCAUCACUCUGUACACACAAGUAAACAACGAAAACAAACAAAAACAAUACGACGACAACAAAAACAAAAGCGAUGGAAAUAAAACAUGAAAGGAAAAACCUCCCCACACCUGAACUAAACAUUGACCUCAAUGUUUAAAUCCAGAUACAAAGGGGACUCACAGCGACUACUGUUGGUUUACUGCACUUGUGUAAUUUCCUUCCACUUGGAGGUGUUU
rnacentral:lncRNA from 1 species